rnacentral:tRNA from 1 species
GAUGGCAGUAGCUCAAUGGUAGAGCGACCGCACGACCCGAUCCCGACCUGCAGGCGGCAGACGGUCAUAUGUGCGGCAGGUAGUCGGUUCGAAUCCCUCUUGCCAUCA